UACGUAGGACCCAAGCGUUGUCCGGAUUUACUGGGUAUAAAGGGUGCGCAGGCGGUCAGGUGCGUCAGAAGUGAAAUAUCCGGGCUUAACCCGGAGGGUGCUUUUGAUACGGCUUGACUUGAGUCCGAGAGAGGAUGAUGGAAUUCCUGGUGUAGCGGUGAAAUGCGUAGAUAUCAGGAGGAACACCGGUGGCGAAGGCGGUCAUCUGGCUCGGUACUGACGCUCAGGCACGAAAGCGCGGGGAUCAAAC
rnacentral:rRNA from 1 species